rnacentral:rRNA from 1 species
ACUGCGGCGCAGGGAGAGGGGGGCCCGGCGACGAUGGCGGAAGACCGCAGCUGGAUGUACACUGGCCGCCAGAGCAGGAAGAAGUUCACCCCCGAGUGGUUGGAGAAGACGACCGAGUUCGUGGAGCGCUCCUUCCACGGCGUCCCGCCGGAACGCCAGGACGUCGGCAUGCUGUGCCCCUGCGCGCGCUGCCGCAACCGCAACAGGCGGCCAAGGACCAAGUACGCAAUGCAGCUGGAUCUGGGCAGGAACGGCUUCAUGCCAGGGUACACGGUGUGGGUGCACCACGGCGAAGGCCACAACCCCCAGCCUGCUAAGCCGUCCGACGACCACCCCGGCGAAGAGAAUCUUGACGGGAAGAAGGAUGGCGCCGGUGGUGGCGAGCAAGUGUCGAAGCCGCAGGGGACUAAGGAGUGGGAAAUGCCCUUGCUUGAGGCGUAUGCAAGAAGCAAGCUACCAAAAGAGGAUCAAAUUAAGUGGAGCUACCAAAAAUACCUGUGGGAACAAGAGAAAAUCAAGCAGCAGCAGCAGCAGAGUGCACCAAAGACAAAGAGGCUGCGCACCUCUGGUUCGCCCACUGCCAAGCCUGCUGAAGAUGAAGGGCGCAAUGUCAGCGUCCCGGAGCCUGAACUAGAAGAUACGGCAACGUCAACAGCUGAUGGCCCUGCAGCUAAUCCGGCAACGACAGCCAACGCGCGUGGAGUUCAAAUCCCAGCUUGGAGU